GACAGAGGGGGCAAGCGUUGCUCGGAAUUACUGGGCGUAAAGGGCGCGUAGGCGGAAUGGCAAGUCGGUCGUGAAAUCCUUCGGCUCAACCGAAGAACGUCGAUCGAAACUGCCGUUCUUGAGGAUUGCAGAGGAGACUGGAAUUCCCGGUGUAGCGGUGAAAUGUGUAGAGAUCAUGAGGAAGACCAGUGGCGAAGGCGGGUCUCUGGACAGUUCCUGACACUGAGACACGAAGGCCAGGGGAGCAAACGGG
rnacentral:rRNA from 1 species